UUGGAGGGCUAAGAUGGAAAAGGAUUCUGAUUUCUGUGUUUUCACUCAAAUAGAAGGCUAGUAUUAAUGAAUAUGGUGAGUUAUUUAAGGAUGAGAGGAAGUCAUGGAGAAAGAAUUCUUAACAGCAAAUUGGAUAUUUAGGUAUGAUUUAGGAGGAAAAUGGCAACCUUUUCAUCUUUUCUAGAUCUAAGGAUAGGGAUCCAUUUAAUUGGAAAUUAAGGGGUAAUCUAAGGGUAGGAUGAUCAAUUAAGCUGCAAUAGGGUAUGGUGAGGAUGCU
rnacentral:lncRNA from 1 species